CAUUUUCUUGUAAACAUUAGCAGCAUCCCUGUACCUCCCAUUACGCGCAAACGCAGUAAUUAAAGAAGUAUAUGCAUAAACAUCGAUACCAAAACCAUCUUUAUGCAAAUUAUGAAGCAACGAUGAUGCCACUGAAAUCCUACCCUCUUUCCCCAGCAUGCUUAUAACCACAGCAAUAACAGACCCAUUUAACAAAUCCCCCGAAUCGGGUCGAUUUCGAGCCCAUUCAAACACAUUCAACGCCAAGUCACAUUUUUUAUAGUAACCUAAACCUUUAAUAAUACCCAAAAUAUCAAAACUCAAUGACUCUGUUUCUAAUUCAGAACUUUCUAAACGAUGCUCAGUAUAUAAACCGAGCAAAAUUUGGUUAAUAUUGUGGAGUUGAAAUUCCGGGUCAAUUAGGGUUUGAAGAGUUUUCUCACCGUGAUAGGAGAGGCGAUGAGGAUACCAUGGUUUGCCCCUGUUGGUAUCAUGCUCCUUGCCAAUAAUACGCCGUCGAGUUCUGGGGAUAGGAGAAGGGUAAAUUGGGGAUUGAGGAAUCUGAGUAGAAUUAGAAGUGGAAGUUGAAGUAGAAGGAAAGUUAGGAGAAGAGUUGGGAUUUUGGUGGUGAAAGAGGUCAUUUAGGAAUGGAGCUAAAGGUUGAGAGGUGGAGGUAGAAUUAGAAGUGGAAGUAGAAGUAGAAGGAAAGUUAGGAGAAGUGUUGGGAUUUUGGUGGUGAAAGAGGUCAUUUAGGAAUGGAGCUAAAGGUUGAGUGGUGGAGUUAGAGAAGUGGGGGUGUGAGUCUUGGAAGAUAGAUUUUGAGGGUGGAGGGUUUGGUAGAAGAAGAGGGAGAGCUAAUUUGUCCGCCAUGAAACACAAUUCAGAUCUUGUGUUACUGAUAUCUUGUUUCUAUUUUGGAGGCUGAUACCUCACUAGACUUGCAAUGGUAACCAGUUAUGGUGUGUUCCUCAGAUAUUUUCUUAUUUAUUUAAAAACUGAGUUCUUUUCUAAUCAAUUAACUUUUUCCACAUAUGU
rnacentral:lncRNA from 1 species